rnacentral:rRNA from 1 species
GAUGAACGCUGGCGGCGUGCCUAAUACAUGCAAGUCGAGCGGACGGACGAGAAGCUUGCUUCUCUGAUGUUAGCGGCGGACGGGUGAGUAACACGUGGAUAACCUACCUAUAAGACUGGGAUAACCUCGGGAAACCGGAGCUAAUACCGGAUAAUAUUUUGAACCGCAUGGUUCAAAAGUGAAAGACGGUCUUGCUGUCACUUAUAGAUGGAUCCGCGCUGCAUUAGCUAGUUGGUAAGGUAACGGCUUACCAAGGCAACGAUGCAUAGCCGACCUGAGAGGGUGAUCGGCCACACUGGAACUGAGACACGGUCCAGACUCCUACGGGAGGCAGCAGUAGGGAAUCUUCCGCAAUGGGCGAAAGCCUGACGGAGCAACGCCGCGUGAGUGAUGAAGGUCUUCGGAUCGUAAAACUCUGUUAUUAGGGAAGAACAUAUGUGUAAGUAACUGUGCACAUCUUGACGUUACCUAAUCAGAAAGCCACGGCUAACUACGUG